UUUAGCUCAGUUGGUAAAGCAUGACUCUUUUAAUCCCAGGGUUGUGGGUUUGAGCCCCACACUGGGCAAAA